rnacentral:rRNA from 1 species
ACGAAUUGCGUUCGGGGUUGUUGCUGGCUCACCUUUCCCGGGGAGCACGUGCACGCCUCGCAUCCAUUUCAACCUCACUCGUGCACUUCAGAGGACCUUUUGGUUCUCUUUUUCACACAAACCUCUGUAUAGUCAUUGUAGAACGUCUUGUAUUAAACUAAAUACAACUUUCAACAACGGAUCUCUUGGCUCUCGCAUCGAUGAAGAACGCAGCGAAAUGCGAUAAGUAAUGUGAAUUGCAGAAUUCAGUGAAUCAUCGAAUCUUUGAACGCACCUUGCGCUCCUUGGUAUUCCGAGGAGCAUGCCUGUUUGAGUGUCGUGUAAUUCUCAAUCCCGUUUGGUUUUGAAUCGAACGUGGAUUGGACUUGGGAGCUUGCUGUGCCUGUUUCUUGGUUCGGCUCUCCUUGAAUGCAUUAGCUCGGUCACGUAGUUGCCCGACGGUUCACGGUGUGAUAGUCAUUCAUCGCCGUUCUGACCGUUUCGGUGCCUGUGUCUGCCGGCUUCUAAUCCGUGUGUUGUCCUUUGUUGGAUGAUGCACUCUUUGACAAUUGACCUCAAAUCAGGUAGGAUUACCCGCUGAACUUAAGCUAUAAA